AGUGAACGCUGGCGGCGUGCCUAAUACAUGCAAGUCGAACGGAGUGGCGCACGGGUGAGUAAUGUAUAGCUAAUCUGCCCUACACUAUAGGACAACAGUUGGAAACGACUGCUAAUACUCUUAAGUGUAGGAUGAGGCUAUAUUGUCUCAGCUAGUUGGUGAGGUAAUGGCGCACCAAGGCUAUGACGCAUAACUGGUCUGAGAGAGUGAUCGGUCACACUGGAACUGAGACACGGUCCGGACUCAUAGUGGAGGCAGCAGUAGGGGAUAUUGCUCAAUGGGGGAAACGCUGAAGCAGCAACGCCGCGUGGAGGAUGACACUUUUCGGAGCGUAAACUCCUUUUGUUAGGGAAGCGGUACCUAACGAAUAAGCACCGGCUAACUCCGUGCCAGCAGCCGCGGUAAUUC
rnacentral:rRNA from 1 species